AUGAACGCUAGCUACAGGCUUAACACAUGCAAGUCGAGGGGCAUCAGGAAGAAAGCUUGCUUUCUUUGCUGGCGACCGGCGCACGGGUGAGUAACACGUAUCCAACCUGCCCUUUACUCGGGGAUAGCCUUUCGAAAGAAAGAUUAAUACCCGAUAGUAUAAUGAUUCCGCAUGGUUUGAUUAUUAAAGGAUUCCGGUAAAGGAUGGGGAUGCGUUCCAUUAGGUUGUUGGUGAGGUAACGGCUCACCAAGCCUUCGAUGGAUAGGGGUUCUGAGAGGAAGGUCCCCCACAUUGGAACUGAGACACGGUCCAAACUCCUACGGGAGGCAGCAGUGAGGAAUAUUGGUCAAUGGGCGAUGGCCUGAACCAGCCAAGUAGCGUGAAGGAUGACUGCCCUAUGGGUUGUAAACUUCUUUUAUAUUAGAAUAAAGUGCAGUAUGUAUACUGUUUUGUAUGUAUAAUAUGAAUAAGGAUCGGCUAACUCCGUGCCAGCAGCCGCGGUAAUACGGAGGAUCCGAGCGUUAUCCGGAUUUAUUGGGUUUAAAGGGAGCGUAGGUGGACUGGUAAGUCAGUUGUGAAAGUUUGCGGCUCAACCGUAAAAUUGCAGUUGAUACUGUCAGUCUUGAGUACAGUAGAGGUGGGCGGAAUUCGUGGUGUAGCGGUGAAAUGCUUAGAUAUCACGAAGAACUCCGAUUGCGAAGGCAGCUCACUGGACUGCAACUGACACUGAUGCUCGAAAGUGUGGGUAUCAAACAGGAUUAGAUACCCUGGUAGUCCACACAGUAAACGAUGAAUACUCGCUGUUUGCGAUAUACAGUAAGCGGCCAAGCGAAAGCAUUAAGUAUUCCACCUGGGGAGUACGCCGGCAACGGUGAAACUCAAAGGAAUUGACGGGGGCCCGCACAAGCGGAGGAACAUGUGGUUUAAUUCGAUGAUACGCGAGGAACCUUACCCGGGCUUAAAUUGCAGUGGAAUGAUGUGGAAACAUGUCAGUGAGCAAUCACCGCUGUGAAGGUGCUGCAUGGUUGUCGUCAGCUCGUGCCGUGAGGUGUCGGCUUAAGUGCCAUAACGAGCGCAACCCUUAUCUUUAGUUACUAACAGGUCAUGCUGAGGACUCUAGAGAGACUGCCGUCGUAAGAUGUGAGGAAGGUGGGGAUGACGUCAAAUCAGCACGGCCCUUACGUCCGGGGCUACACACGUGUUACAAUGGGGGGUACAGAAGGCAGCUACCUGGUGACAGGAUGCUAAUCCCAAAAGCCUCUCUCAGUUCGGAUCGAAGUCUGCAACCCGACUUCGUGAAGCUGGAUUCGCUAGUAAUCGCGCAUCAGCCAUGGCGCGGUGAAUACGUUCCCGGGCCUUGUACACACCGCCCGUCAAGCCAUGGGAGCCGGGGGUACCUGAAGUACGUAACCGCAAGGAGCGUCCUAGGGUAAAACUGGUGACUGGGGCU
rnacentral:rRNA from 1 species